rnacentral:rRNA from 1 species
UACGAAGGACCCAAGCGUUAUCCGGAUUUAUUGGGUUUAAAGGGUGCGUAGGCGGAUUGUUAAGUCAGUGGUGAAAGCUCCGAGCCCAACUCGGAAACUGCCAUUGAUACUGAUGAUCUUGAGUACAUUUGAGGUGGGCGGAAUGUGUCGUGUAGCGGUGAAAUGCUUAGAGAUGACACAGAACACCGAUUGCGAAGGCAGCUCACUAAACUGUAACUGACGCUGAGGCACGAAAGCGUGGGGAGCAAACAGG